rnacentral:rRNA from 1 species
UACGUAAGGUCCGAGCGUUGUCCGGAAUCAUUGGGCGUAAAGGGUACGUAGGCGGAUAAGCAAGUUAGAAGUGAAAUCCUAUAGCUCAACUAUAGUAAGCUUUUAAAACUGCUCAUCUUGAGGUAUGGAAGGGAAAGUGGAAUUCCUAGUGUAGCGGUGAAAUGCGUAGAUAUUAGGAAGAAUACCGGUGGCGAAAGCGACUUUCCAGCCUUUUACUGACGCUGAGGUACGAAAGCGUGGGUAGCAAACAGG